AGAACCUGCCUUUCAGGCAUCCUCUCCUAAGACUCAAAUGGGCUGGUCUCUCACGAGAUCAGCCCUUUUUUUUUGCGCGC
rnacentral:sRNA from 1 species